ACAGGAAGAAGGAAGCGUUUCCGACCCUAUAAGGUCGACGUCAUCUAUCUAACACAGUACAAUGUAAUACAAAGUGUAUACAAAGUAAUCAAUAUCAAUUUCCUUCCGACGGAGAAUUCGAACUCUGAAUGGUAUAUACAUAUAUGUAUAUAUAUAAUGUUUAUUAUAACCAUUCUAUAUGAUGAUGAUAAAUAAAUGCUAUUUAAAAUUGUUGUGAAAUAAAUACAAUAAAUACGUUUUAAUUUAAAUCAAA